AGGACUUAGUGGAUACAGAGCCCAGCAUAGCCUGCUGUCUGUGGAGCAGCCACUGCUGGGCUCUGCUGCUGAGCAUGGGGGGACAUAUGGGCAAUUCACUUCUCAGAACUUGGCUCCUGACUUGAGCGUGAGCCUGACAUGCCACUUCUGUUUUCUCUUGAAAUCAGGGAUCAUAUUGUAACCAAACUGCAUUCCAAUUAGCCAUUUGUACCAACACUGGUGCAGGUUAUUAACUGUAAAAUGGGGCUAGUACUGAGCCUUGAGUAAUUGUGUAAGCCUCGGAAAGGCCAGCUAUUAGCCAGCAUGGUACACACCUUAUCCCAGCCCUAGAGAAGCUGAGGAAGGUAGUGGAUUUGAAUUCAAGGCCAGCUGGAGCUAUACAACCAGACUGUCUAAUAAUAAAACAUAAGGGGAACCAACCGGUCAAGGGUACUAGCUUAGUUAGACUAACUAUGAGCCGUCACCUUUUAGAUCGAUAGAACCUCUAUCCUCCCUGUUAGAGCAGCCAAAGCUGGAAUCUAAGGUGGAUCAGCCUGUCUCCAUGAUAGCUCUGGCUUUACUGGAUAAUACCAGUUGUCAUGGCCUGAACUCUGAGAACAUUUCUCCCUGGACAGGGAAGGGAACUUAGAUGUCAGUAGUAGUUGGCUUUAAUUUAUUUAAUUUGUUUGUUUAUAGUUUAUUAUAUUUAUUUUAUUUAUUUAAGGCCUUUAAGUACUGAGGUGUAGAUGAAGGGUAGCCUAUGGGAAUGGCAUUUACAACUGUCACAGGUUAGGUUGAAUGGCAUCGGACAAUGUCUCAGUAUGUGGUGGGGAUGCAGAUGCAGCUAUGGCCAAAUGUUUUCUUUGGUGUUAGGAGUGUUAGAAUUUACAGUCACACAGGAGCCAAGUCAGCACAGAGGGUCUCAUCCACAAACUCUACCAGUCUGGGUGGUCAAAAGAGCUCCUCUUUGAAAAAGAAUAUCAGUCACAGUGAGAGCAUCUCUUGGUCGCACGAAUGCUAUACCUUCCUGAUUGCAAUGGGAGGCACUGCCAGCCGUGUCAGCAGAAGCCAGUGUGGGAGGAAAAGCUGGGCAGAGGCUACUGACUGCAUCAUUGUCUGAGCCUCUGAAAUAAUGCUAUGGAAGCAAUCCUAACACAUGGCUCGUCACUGUCACAGUAGAAAUGUAGCAUCAGCCCAGUGACAUUGUCUCCUAGUCUAAAGCACACUGGGUGUGGUGCCACCUAAUCAGAUUUUCCUUGGGAGGAGGAUGUUAAAAAUGUGUUUUGUCACCUGCUUUGCUGAAGUGUCACUACUUUUGAAGACUGCUAGGACAGGAAAUGCAUCAGGAGGGGUGGACUUACAUUGCCUAUCCUGUUUUGAUAAUAGAUCAGUGGGAAAAAACUCUGUGAAGAGGUGGCAUGUGUUGCUGCUACCUACUGAGCUAAACUUCUGAACUAAGAAAGGAUUUGGAGACACAAAAGUAGGUCACCAUACUAUAAGGCUGAAGUAAGCAGGCACCUUCAGUGGCUCCAUACUCAUUUGUCAUCAUGGCUACCUGUUCUCUAUAGAUGAAAUCUCCCUCAUGAGAGACUACCUGACUAGCCACAGAUUAGUUGCUUCUGCUUUGGGGAAUUUCCAUUAAUUUUCCAUCUGCUGUAAGGCCUCUUCCAUGACCAAUAGAUGACAGUGGUCACUCAGUGUGGGCUGCCCCAGACAGCUGGCAUGUGCCAUUCACGUUCUAUCUCCACAGCUGCCUAGGAUUCCCUGAAGGGAGAAGACUUGUCCUUGCUGUCUUAGCUGAGUCCUAGCCUUCGCCUUCCACUUUUCUGCUUCUAAAUAUGGUUAAAAGUCCAUGCCACAUAUUUCUCGUUCUUUGUAGAUUAAUGAGGUGGUCAGUUCAAGUUAGAUGGCCAGUUUAAUCAUAAUGAGUCCAUACCACCAUAAAAGGUAAGAAAUGAACUCACCUGGCCACAGUGCCCUGGUGUGGGACGGCCGCGAUUGCUCAUCUUGGCAUCUGAAGAAGAGAAUGAAAUUGACAGUUGUGGUCUUGAUUUCUCUAGCUAAAACAGACUUCAUGUGGUCCUGAGGUAUGUUUCAGCAUUUAGACGGUUUGUUGUUUUAAGGAGAAAGAGGAUCCAUCAGUUCUGUUCUGACUAUAACACAUCCAUCAGUUCUGCUUUGUCUGCAAAAGAGUUAACUAAAUACUGCGUCAUAAUCCUGGUAGAAAUGUGUAGUGGCUGUGUCAGAGAUGAAUAGUAAUAAAUGGCUUUUGCAAGUGCCCAAC
rnacentral:lncRNA from 1 species